UGGCGAACUGGUGAGUAACACGUGGGAAACCUGCCCAGAAGCGGGGGAUAACACCUGGAAACAGAUGCUAAUACCGCAUAACAACUUGGACCGCAUGGUCCGAGUUUGAAAGAUGGCUUCGGCUAUCACUUUUGGAUGGUCCCGCGGCGUAUUAGCUAGAUGGUGAGGUAACGGCUCACCAUGGCAAUGAUACGUAGCCGACCUGAGAGGGUAAUCGGCCACAUUGGGACUGAGACACGGCCCAAACUCCUACGGGAGGCAGCAGUAGGGAAUCUUCCACAAUGGACGAAAGUCUGAUGGAGCAACGCCGCGUGAGUGAAGAAGGGUUUCGGCUCGUAAAACUCUGUUGUUAAAGAAGAACAUAUCUGAGAGUAACUGUUCAGGUAUUGACGGUAUUUAACCAGAAAGCCACGGCUAACUACGUGCCAGCAGCCGCGGUAAUACGUAGGUGGCAAGCGUUGUCCGGAUUUAUUGGGCGUAAAGCGAGCGCAGGCGGUUUUUUAAGUCUGAUGUGAAAGCCUUCGGCUCAACCGAAGAAGUGCAUCGGAAACUGGGAAACUUGAGUGCAGAAGAGGACAGUGGAACUCCAUGUGUAGCGGUGAAAUGCGUAGAUAUAUGGAAGAACACCAGUGGCGAAGGCGGCUGUCUGGUCUGUAACUGACGCUGAGGCUCGAAAGUAUGGGUAGCAAACAGGAUUAGAUACCCUGGUAGUCCAUACCGUAAACGAUGAAUGCUAAGUGUUGGAGGGUUUCCGCCCUUCAGUGCUGCAGCUAACGCAUUAAGCAUUCCGCCUGGGGAGUACGGCCGCAAGGCUGAAACUCAAAGGAAUUGACGGGGGCCCGCACAAGCGGUGGAGCAUGUGGUUUAAUUCGAAGCUACGCGAAGAACCUUACCAGGUCUUGACAUACUAUGCAAAUCUAAGAGAUUAGACGUUCCCUUCGGGGACAUGGAUACAGGUGGUGCAUGGUUGUCGUCAGCUCGUGUCGUGAGAUGUUGGGUUAAGUCCCGCAACGAGCGCAACCCUUAUUAUCAGUUGCCAGCAUUAAGUUGGGCACUCUGGUGAGACUGCCGGUGACAAACCGGAGGAAGGUGGGGAUGACGUCAAAUCAUCAUGCCCCUUAUGACCUGGGCUACACACGUGCUACAAUGGAUGGUACAACGAGUUGCGAACUCGCGAGAGUAAGCUAAUCUCUUAAAGCCAUUCUCAGUUCGGAUUGUAGGCUGCAACUCGCCUACAUGAAGUCGGAAUCGCUAGUAAUCGCGGAUCAGCAUGCCGCGGUGAAUACGUUCCCGGGCCUUGUACACAC
rnacentral:rRNA from 2 species